AGUGUGACUCCAACCACUAACUGGAUAAUUGUGUUUGGAGGAAAGAGGAACUUUUCAACAAUCAUAAGUGAUCCAGCAGUUAUUGAACUCAGAUAUACUAGUAAUAAUGAUUGGUCUACUAGUAUAAUACCUCUGGACCAGUAUCAAGAGAAACUACAAGAAAGGAGAAAAGAAUGGGAAGCAUCUCAACCUGUUCAACCUGAGGAUAGAAGAGAAUCUCACUGAAUGUUGUCUGCUACAGACAAACAGCAUCUACCAAUAUCUGCAAAUUGUUUCAAUUACUUUUAAUUUUUCAUUGAGCUAUUAAAUUAAUUUUUAUUUCUGACAAAAAUCAAA